UACGGGGGGAGCAAGCGUUGUCCGGAAUUAUUGGGCGUAAAGAGCGUGUAGGCGGUUUGGUAGGUCCGCUGUGAAAACUCGAGGCUCAACCUCGAGACGCCGGUGGAAACCAUCAGGCUAGAGUCCGGAAGAGGAGAGUGGAAUUCCUGGUGUAGCGGUGAAAUGCGCAGAUAUCAGGAAGAACACCCGUGGCUAAGGCGGCUCUCUAGUACGGUACUGACGCUGAGACGCGAAAGCGUGGGGAGCGAACAGG
rnacentral:rRNA from 1 species